rnacentral:lncRNA from 1 species
CCGGAAGAAAGGGCAGGAUUUUGAUAGGAGGGAUCCUGCUUUCAUUAAUCGUACUUGAGGCAUACUUAGCACAUACAUCCUUAUAGAGUUCAUUUAAUGAGUUUUCUAAUUUCCUGCCUUAAGGGAAACUGAAUUACUGCCCCCCACUUCCCCUUUUUUUUCUGGCACUAGAAAGAGAAGUGUUUUAGUUCCAAUUCCAUGCCUUCAUGUAUUGAAAUUAUUCAGCCCAGAGAUGAGGGGUUUUAUUUGUUUGUUUGUUUUGUUUUUUUGAGACAGGGUCUCGCUCCAUCGCCCAGGCUGGAGUGCAGUGGCGCAAUCUCGGCCCACUGCAAGCUCCCGCCUCCCGAGUUCACGCCGUUCUCCUGCCUCAGCCUCCCGAGUAGCCGGGACGAGAUGAGGAUUUUUUUAGACCAAAAGAGAAGCAGUGGAGACAGUAAGAAGUUACUGGAUUUUACUGUUUGCUGAUGAAUGGGAAGUGGAGAAAGAAAGGAGCUCCAUCGCACUCUGCUGCACUGGCCACCUGCAUAUCAAGGUUGCACUUCAUCUGUACGUCCUGUCUCUGGCAACUGUGAUGUUCAACUUCCCUGAACUAGAAGAAGAGGGAAGAAGAAAAACCUCUUCUUUGUUGAGAAUUCAUUCCAGCACAAUUACCCGGCAGGGAGCCUGCCUUCUAGGUUCCCUCCCACGCACUGCUGGAAGCUUCCAGCAUCCUAUCUCUGCAGCUCUAACCCUGUGUCUGCUUUGAUAAGAGCUAUGGUGUAAUCAGCGCAGCCGCAGUUCUCUAGCUCUGAUUCCCCCUUGUGGCUUCUGCAUUCCUGUUGAUAAUUAAAGAAAGCUUUCUUGCCAUGAUGCAGGCUAUAUAAAAUAAGUUAAUAAGUAAUAAAGCAGCUGGCCUUAAGCCAGGAACUUGCUGCUGCUGGUAUCGGUCCCAUCCUGUGGUAUAGUUACUGAGGGGGAAGGAAGCUUGGCUCUCAGACACAGGCUUUUGGAAUGGAUAGCUGAGAGAGUCAGCUUGGCUUGAUGUGCCACUAAAAAUGUAAGAGCCAUAAAGAACAUUCUGUGAGAGAGUUUAUGGGUCCUUGGCCUUUGAAUGAGAUGGAUCGCUGACCCUCCUUCCUAUGUUCCCACCUCAUCUUCUCUCAAGUCCCAGAUUAUUUAACUCUUUUUGCCAACCGUAUCACUGCAUAGCUCACUCCUAUUUUAUUAGGUUUAAAAUAAAUGCAGCAGGGACCUGAUCUCCAAGUUUUGUGUUACUCAACCCUUGAUUUCAUAUCUUCCUUUUGAAGAUUGCACCCUGAUACAUUAAAGAUGAGUGCCUUGAG